CACAACAGUAAUGGCGGCGUGCGAGGAGUUAUCAUGCGUCGGGAUGGAAGCAGCAAUUUCAGCGGUGUUAUCCAAAAUACCUCAAGUUGAUUCUCUAAAGGAGGAGCAGUCCCGAGUCAUGGCUAUAGAAGAAGUGGCUGGCUAUGCUUUCUUCUGAAGUCUAUCAAAAAAACCUGGUGGGAAUUGUUGUGGAUGAAGUUCACGUACAGAUGGGGCAACGGUGUAAAGGGGAAUCCAGCAUUGAGAGAGAGAGAGCUUUUCUCGCCUGGGACAACUCUGCUCAGUUGUGAAAGAAAGGCACACCUGUCAUGGCUUUGACGGCUUCAGCAGAAGUUGUCAACAGAGAGAGGGUCAUCAAGCUGCUACACAUGCACAAUGCAACCCGGGUGACAGUGAGCCCAAAUAGACAUAACAUCAGGCUUGGCCUGAAACAUGUAUCUAGUAAUACCCUCUACCCUCACAUGCAGUCUUGUAUGCAAUCAAAGGAUCACCUAGGGUUGACAAGACAGUGAGAGAAGUGAUUAAGGCAGGCACACAGGCGUACAUUAGUACCAAACAUGCCACUUGUCACAAGCAAGGCUUUCUGCACCGGGUUUGGAACAAAGCUAAUAGAAGCAGCAGUCAACCAUAGUCCUUACAUCUUUGAUACAUAUUAAAUCUGUGUACUUACAUAACAAACAACUUA